GUAAUCCGGAAAGAGAAAAGCACCCCCUCCCUGGAUGAAGGCUCUUCUGGAGAGAGUCAAAGACAAAUAAGGGUGGGGCGCAGUGGCUCAUGCCUGUUAUCCCAACACUUUGGGAGGCUGAGGUGGGAGGACCACUUGAGCCCACUAGUUCAAGACCAGCCUGUGCAACAUAGCAAGACCUUGUUUCUAGAAAAAAAAUUAAAGAUUAGUCAGGUGUAGUGGUGCAUGCCUGUAAUCCUAGCUCCUCAGGAGGCUGAGGCAGGAGGAUCACUCAAGCCCAGGAGUUUGAGGUUACAGUAAGCUAUGAUCAUGCCACUGUACCCCCGUCUGGGUGACAGAACGAGACCCUGUCUCAAAAAAAUAAUAAUUCCAAAAACAAAUAUGGAGACGGAAAUUGAGCCCCCCUAGACUGGGAGCCCCCACUGAGUUCGGAAAUUAGGCUUUACCUCCAGCCCUGGGGUGCCAGGCAGGAGAAAACCAUGUGGUAGGCUGAGGGGGUAGGGUGACCCAUUGGGGUGACCUAGAUAGGGCCUUGGGUCACCCUCUGCCUCCUCCAGCCUGUGGCUGAAAGUCAGCCAUGAAGUAAUGGGGGACACUGUUACUCAUCCCAGAAGCACCCACACUUACUCACUUUUGGGAAGGGGGACCUAAAGUGUGAAAAAAAGGUGAGGAUUUUCCGUCUCACCCUAAAUGGGACACCCUAAGUGGGGCAUCGGUUUUUCCUCCUCCCCAGAACUUCCUGGUGUUUUCAGGCACCACAGGCUCCUUCCUGCCAUCCCCAUCUCUCUCUAAUAUUCUCCCCUUCUUUCUCCUUCAGCCUCCUCCCUUCAGACCCCAUGAGCCUUGAAUUAAGCUCCUUGGAGGAGAAGAGUUGACUGUCGGGUAGGAGACAGAGAGGCCUUCAGGCAGCUCUAGGGGGAGAAGUGCGGGGCCCCUCCAGGCUUCAUUCCUCUGUCAUGAUAGGGGCUUACUCUGCUGCUGGGCCUUUCUGAGUGGUGCUUGCUGGGCUCUGUAAUGACCCCUCUCACUGUUGGGGGGUACCCAAGAGAAAAGAGUAUGGUGCAGAGUCUGGUUGGGACCAUGUGGCCCUGAAAAUCAGGAUGCCUAGAGAAGCUUCGGAGUUUGAGAAGUCCCCCUUCCUCCCACCCUCCAACUGGGCUAAUGGUG
rnacentral:lncRNA from 1 species